GAUGAACGCUAGCGAUAGGCUUAACACAUGCAAGUCGAGGGGCAGCAUUAUUUUAGCUUGCUAAGAUAGAUGGCGACCGGCGCACGGGUGCGUAACGCGUAUGCAACCUGCCUGUAAUUAGGGAAUAACCCGGUGAAAGUCGGACUAAUACCCUAUAUUCAUCUUUCUCCGCAUGGAGAGGGAUGGAAAGAUUUAUUGAUUACAGAUGGGCAUGCGUCCCAUUAGCUAGUUGGUAAGGUAACGGCUUACCAAGGCAACGAUGGGUAGGGGGACUGAGAGGUUGACCCCCCACACUGGUACUGAGACACGGACCAGACUCCUACGGGAGGCAGCAGUGAGGAAUAUUGGUCAAUGGGCGAGAGCCUGAACCAGCCAAGUCGCGUGAAGGACGACGGUUCUAUGGAUUGUAAACUUCUUUUGUAGAGGAAUAAUGGCAGCUACGCGUAGCUGAGAU
rnacentral:rRNA from 1 species